rnacentral:rRNA from 1 species
CAGCAGCCGCGGUAAUACGUAGGUGGCGAGCGUUAUCCGGAUUUACUGGGCGUAAAGAGCGCGCAGGCGGUCGUGCAAGUCGGAUGUGAAAGCCCCCGGCUCAACUGGGGAAAGUCAUUCGAUACUGCUCGACUUGAAGGCGGGAGAGGGAAGCGGAAUUCCCGGUGUAGUGGUGAAAUGCGUAGAUAUCGGGAGGAACACCAGUGGCGAAGGCGGCUUCCUGGCCCGUUCUUGACGCUGAGGCGCGAAAGCUAGGGGAGCAAACGGGAUUAGAUACCCCGGUAAUCCUAGCCGUAAACGAUGGACACUAGGUGUUGGUGGUAUCAACCCCGCCAGUGCCGAAGCUAACGCAUUAAGUGUCCCGCCUGGGGAGUACGGCCGCAAGGCUAAAACUCAAAGGAAUUGACGG